GACGAACCGUGCGAACGUUAUUCGGAAUCACUGGGCUUAAAGGGCGCGUAGGCGGGCUCGUUAGUCAGGGGUGAAAUCCUACGGCCCAACCGUGGAAGUGCCUCUGAUACUGCGGGCCUCGAGGGGGAUAGGGGCGUGCGGAACUCAGGGUGGAGCGGUGAAAUGCGUAGAUAUCCUGAGGAACACCAGUGGCGAAAGCGGCGCGCUGGAUCACUUCUGACGCUGAGGCGCGAAAGCCAGGGGAGCAAACGGG
rnacentral:rRNA from 1 species